rnacentral:rRNA from 1 species
CUGCACGAAGCUGGAAUCGCUAGUAAUCGCGGAUCAGCACGCCGCGGUGAAUACGUUCCCGGGCCUUGUACACACCGCCCGUCACACCAUGGAAGUCUGCAAUGCCCGAAGCCGGUGGCCUAACCACUUAUGUGGAAGGAGCCGUCUAAGGCAGGGCAGAUGACUGGGGUGAAGUCGUAACAAGGUACC